ensembl:lncRNA
UGCUGGGGGAGCUCUGAGUGCUGGGGAACACGGUACAGGAGAGAAGCUAUGCAAACUGCAGGAGCCAAGCACUGGGGAUCAGCAGGAGGCAAACGCUGGUAAUGAGGGCACCUUGUGACCAGGGAGAGAACACUGUCUCUUCCUCACUGUCUGCUCCGUUCUCUCUGCUGACAACACUGAGCAUCGCCUCAGCCUGUGAAGCCACAUUCACACAGUCCACCUCUCCGGCCACAGAAGAGGAAGAGGUGAGUACAUUUGAAGCUGAGGGGCAAGGAAUUGACCACUGGCACCAGCAGAGAUGUUUGUAGGAAUGGAGAGCAAAGAAAACAGAAAAUCAGUGAGCAAUAAUGAAGACUGCGAUUCUUCAAAUAUUACAAAUAUUAUCUGUUCUGAAAUGUUAAGGUGCUUAUAUAUUUUUAUUUUUAAAAAAGCUCUAACCCCAUCAAAAUAAUGGCUUUGCACACUAAUUACUCCAUUA